UACGUAGGGUGCAAGCGUUGUCCGGAAUUAUUGGGCGUAAAGAGCUCGUAGGCGCCUGUCGCGUCGGCUGUGAAAACCCGGGGCUCAACCCCGGGCCUGCAGUCGAUACGGGCAGGCUAGAGUCCGGCAGGGGAGACUGGAAUUCCUGGUGUAGCGGUGAAAUGCGCAGAUAUCAGGAGGAACACCGAUGGCGAAGGCAGGUCUCUGGGCCACUACUGACGCUGAGAAGCGAAAGCAUGGGGAGCGAACAGG
rnacentral:rRNA from 1 species